rnacentral:rRNA from 1 species
GACGAACGCUGGCGGCGUGCUUAACACAUGCAAGUCGAACGGAAAGGCCCUGCUUUUGUGGGGUGUUCGAGUGGCGAACGGGUGAGUAACACGUGAGUAACCUGCCCUUGACUUUGGGAUAACUUCAGGAAACUGGGGCUAAUACCGGAUAGGAGCUCCUGCUGCAUGGUGGGGGUUGGAAAGUUUCGGCGGUUGGGGAUGGACUCGCGGCUUAUCAGCUUGUUGGUGGGGUAGUGGCUUACCAAGGCUUUGACGGGUAGCCGGCCUGAGAGGGUGACCGGCCACAUUGGGACUGAGAUACGGCACAGACUCCUACGGGAGGCAGCAGUGGGGAAUAUUGCACAAUGGGCGGAAGCCUGAUGCAGCAACGCCGCGUGCGGGAUGACGGCCUUCGGGUUGUAAACCGCUUUCGCCUGUGACGAAGCGUGAGUGACGGUAAUGGGUAAAGAAGCACCGGCUAACUACGUG